AAUCCACGUUCUUUUCCUCUCCUCAAUUCCGCCCUCUCUUUCAACCUUCAAAUCCAAACCCCUAAAACUUUCCUUUCACUUCUUCCCCCGACCCCAAAAAAAUUCCCUCCGUUCAAACACUCAUUCUCCUUUACGCCCAUGCCCCCGACCACGUCCCCGCCAUGCACCCCCACCACCUCCCUUUCCAUCACCGAAACCAUAAACGGUUCUCACCGAUUCACCAUCCAAGGCUACUCCUUAGCCAAAGGCAUCGGCGUCGGGAAACACAUCGCCAGCGAGAAUUUCACCGUCGGCGGUUACCAGUGGGCCAUUUACUUCUACCCUGACGGUAAGAAUCCUGAAGACAAUUCCUCCUAUGUUUCCGUCUUCAUCGCUCUAGCCAGCGAGGGCACCGACGUUCGCGCCUUGUUCGAGCUCACCCUCAUCGAUCAGAGUGGCGAAGGCAAGCACAAGGUCCAUAGCCACUUCGAUCGCUCCCUUGAGAGUGGGCCUUAUACGCUCAAGUAUCGCGGCAGCAUGUGGGGUUACAAGCGUUUCUUUAGACGGGCAAUGCUUGAAACGUCGAAUUUCCUAAAGGAUGAUUGCUUGAAAAUUCACUGUACGGUUGGGGUUGUGGUUUCUGCAAUAGACUGCUCAAGGCUGCACUCUAUAAAGGUCCCUGAGUCGGAUAUUGGAGCCCAUUUUGGUAUGUUACUGGAGAAUGAGGAAUGUUCUGAUAUUACUUUUAAUGUGCAAGGUGAAAAGGUUCAUGCGCACAAAUUGGUAUUGGCUGCUCGUUCGCCUGUAUUUGAGAGUGAAUUUUUUGACUCAUUGGAGGAAGACAAUCGUGAGAUAGUUAUUACAGAUACGGAACCUAAGGUUUUCAAGGCUUUGCUUCACUUUAUCUACAAAGAUACUCUGGUUGAAGAUGAGGAACUUUCUGUAUCAAGUUCAUCUUGCAUGUCAACUAUAUCCGAUACCUUGGUUGCAAAAUUGUUGGCGGCAGCAGACAAGUAUAACUUACCUAGACUCAGACUAAUGUGUGA
rnacentral:misc_RNA from 1 species